AUUGAACGAUGGCGGCAGGCUUAACACAUGCAAGUCGAGCGGGGGAAGGUAGCUUGCUACCGGACCUAGCGGCGGACGGGUGAGUAAUGCUUAGGAAUCUGCCUAUUAGUGGGGGACAACAUCUCGAAAGGGAUGCUAAUACCGCAUACGUCCUACGGGAGAAAGCAGGGGAGCUUCGGACCUUGCGCUAAUAGAUGAGCAUAAGUCGGGUUAGCUAGUUGGAGGGGUAAAGGCCUACCAAGGCGACGAACUGUAGCGGGUCGCAGAGGACGAUCCGCAACACUGGGACUGAGACACGGCCCAGACUCCUACGGGAGGCAGCAGUGGGGAAUAUUGGACAAUGGGAGGAACCCUGAUCCAGCCAUGCCGCGUGUGUGAAGAAGGCCUUAUGGUUGUAAAGCACUUUAAGCGAGGAGGAGGCUACUCUAGUUAAUACCUAGGGAUAGUGGACGUUACUCGCAGAAUAAGCACCGGCUAACUCUGUGCCAGCCGCCGCCGUAAUAC
rnacentral:rRNA from 1 species